rnacentral:rRNA from 1 species
UACGAGGGAUGCAGGCGUUAUCCGGAAUUAUUGGGCGUAAAGCGUUUGUAGGCGGGCGAGUGUGUUUAAUGUUAAAUCUUAAAGCUCAACUUUGAAAUUGCGUUAAAAACUGCUUGUCUUGAGUAUGGUAGGGGUAAAGGGAAUUCCCAGUGUAGCGGUGAAAUGCGUAGAUAUUGGGAAGAACACUAAACAGCGAAGGCACUUUACUAGGCUAAUACUGACGCUGAGAAACGAAAGGUAAGGUAGCGAAACGGAUUAGAUACCCGUGUAGUCUUACCCGUAAACUAUGGACACUAAACGGUAAAUUUUUAAUUUACUGUUAAAGCUAACGCGUUAAGUGUCCCGCCUGGGGAGUAUGCUUGCAAAAGUGAAACUCAAAGGAAUUGACGGGGGCCCGCACAAGCGGUGGAGCAUGUGGUUUAAUUCGACGGUACACGAAGAACCUUACCAGGAUUUGACAUGCUAGAUAGUUGCUUGAAAGAGUAACGUGCCGUAAGGAAUCUAGACACAGGUGGUGCAUGGCUGUCGUCAGUUCGUGUUGUGAAAUGUUGGGUUAAGUCCCGCAACGAACGCAACCCUUGUCUUUAGUUAUUUUCUAAAGAGACUGCCUGUAAUAAACAGGAGGAAGGUAAGGAUGAGGUCAAGUCAUCAUGCCCCUUAUGUCCUGGGCUACACACGUGCUACAAUGGGAAAGACAAUGAGCUGCAAAUCUGUAAAUUUAAGCAAAUCUCUUAAACUUUCUCGUAGUUCGGAUUGUGGGCUGCAACUCGCCCACAUGAAGUUGGAAUCGCUAGUAAUCGCCAGUCAGCUAUAUGGCGGUGAAUCCGUUCCCGGGCCU